GAAGUCGUGGCCCUUCUGUCCUGUCUGGCCCUUCUGUCCACGGGGCAGCUUUGACCUCUGAUUGAGACUGCCUGGGGCACCUGUCAGCUGGCAUUCAGGACUUUGCAGGUUGUCUCUGGGCUUCAUGCCCCGGCUGCCAGCUGUGUGCAGGGAGCACUGCCCUGUCAGCAGGAUUUCCGGUGUUUGUGGUCACCGUUCAUGGUGCCGCCCUAGCAGUUCUGUCCAGAGUCCGGGUCCAUCGCACUCUCCUUCUGGCUGGCCCGGAUGUCAGCUGCCAAGCCUGCAGACAUGUGCCCUUCCCACCUUCCACGGACAGAGGACAGAGUGACCGUGGGUCUGGCCCCCAGAAGAAGCAGCAGACCAGACAGCAGACAACCAACUGAGGAAGAAAGGAACCCCUGCCCGCCCAGCAGGAGGGAAAGGUCCCUGAAGGGCAGCUGCAGAAGAAGGAACGGAAGCAGGAAAAGAAAGCUGGGGACCAAGAAGUGUGGGUUGGGGUGGGCAGGAGGGAGGGAGCAAAAUGUUUAAUGUGGCCUUGGGUAAAUGCAGAUGGGGACUGGUGUGCAUGUCUACGCUUUCAAGCACCCUUGGAGCAAGCAGCCGCAUGCUUCAAGUUGCACCGUGCACUCGGUCUUGGGUUGGCCCCAGUUGUGUGCAGGGAGGUUGAGGCUUUGUGCCAGUUGUGCAUUUUGAUACGCAGCAGUGAAGGGUUUUGCAGGUUGUCUGGCUUCGCUAGUUAAGCAGUGGAUCAGAAUAGAUGCAGCUGAAGGCAGUGUGUAGGUUUUCCGUGGUUGGGUUGUUGAGCGGUUCUCGGUGUUAGCAUAGAAAUGCAGGUUUGUGCUCGGGAAGUUCAUGUCUUUAUCUUCAUCUUCGCAACGUGGGGGCAGGGGCAGAGCUUUCCCGACGGGCCUGUGGGUUUGAGUGCCUGCCAUGAAGCACCCUAAAGCGCUGUGACAGUCGUCUCACAGGUGCAGGGUUUUCCACAUUUUCUGCAAUUCGGAGCUCUUCCAGAGCUCGCGCUUAGGCACCCGACAUCACUACUCAGCGCUUACUAUGCUGGCCAGGGUCUAGGGCAGGGUCACAGCACAGUGUCACCUUGCUGAGGUGCUGGCAUAAGCCCUUGUCUGCCCAAAGGUGGCCCCAACACUGGCCCACAGCACUUUCCGGCCCCCCCGCCCCCGGCCCCCCGCCAGCACCGCUUCCGCAGCCAGCACUCCGG